rnacentral:rRNA from 1 species
UUCCGGUUGAUCCUGCCGGACCUGACUGCUAUCGGAUUGAUACUAAGCCAUGCGAGUCAUUGUAGCAAUACAAGGCAGACGGCUCAGUAACGCGUAGUCAACCUAACCUAUGGAUGGGAAUAACCUCGGGAAACUGAGAAUAAUGCCCAAUAGAACACUAUGCCUGGAAUGGUUUGUGUUCCAAAUGAUUUAUCGCCGUAGGAUGGGACUGCGGCCUAUCAGUUUGUUGGUGAGGUAAUGGCCCACCAAGACUAUUACAGGUACGGGCUUUGAGAGGAGUAGCCCGGAGAUGGGUACUGAGACACGGACCCAGGCCCUAUGGGGCGCAGCAGGCGAGAAAACUUUGCAAUGUGCGAAAGCACGACAAGGUUAAUCCGAGUGAUUUGUGCUAAGCGAAUCUUUUGUUAGUCCUAGAAACACUAACGAAUAAGGGGUGGGCAAGUUCUGGUGUCAGCCGCCGCGGUAAAACCAGCACCUCAAGUGGUCAGGAUGAUUAUUGGGCCUAAAGCAUCCGUAGCCGGCUCUGUAAGUUUUCGGUUAAAUCUGUAUGCUCAACAUACAGGCUGCCGGGAAUACUGCAGAGCUAGGGAGUGGGAGAGGUAGACGGUACUCGGUAGGAAGGGGUAAAAUCCUUUGAUCUAUUGAUGACCACCUGUGGCGAAGGCGGUCUACCAGAACACGUCCGACGGUGAGGGAUGAAAGCUGGGGGAGCAAACCGGAUUAGAUACCCGGGUAGUCCCAGCUGUAAACUAUGCAAACUCAGUGAUGCAUUGGCUUGUGGCCAAUGCAGUGCUGCA